rnacentral:tRNA from 1 species
GGUAUUAUACUUUAUAUAGAAGAUAUGAUUUGCACUCAUAAAGAAAGAUACUCUUUUAUACCA